UUUAAUGAACUGUCCGACGGUGCCUACGAGCCUAAGAGGGAAGAGGGGUGUACAAUCCCCCGCGGACCCGCCACUGUAAGCGAGGACGAGAGACCAGGAAGCCACUGGCACUAACGCUGGGAAGGCGGUCUCAAGGUCGAUUCGCAAGCCAGUAUACCUGCCGUUUCGGAUAUCCCACA
rnacentral:ncRNA from 2 species